UACGAAGGGGGCUAGCGUUGCUCGGAAUCACUGGGCGUAAAGGGCGCGUAGGCGGCGUUUUUAAGUCGGGGGUGAAAGCCUGUGGCUCAACCACAGAAUGGCCUUCGAUACUGGGACGCUUGAGUAUGGGAGAGGUGAGUGGAACUGCGAGUGUAGAGGUGAAAUUCGUAGAUAUUCGCAAGAACACCAGUGGCGAAGGCGGCUCACUGGCCCCAUUACUGACGCUGAGGCACGAAAGCGUGGGGAGCAAACAGG
rnacentral:rRNA from 1 species